rnacentral:misc_RNA from 1 species
AGGUGAACCUGCGGAAGGAUCAUUCAUAAUAAGUGUUUAUGGCACUUCUUAAAUCCAUAUCUACCUUGUGUGCAAUGUCAGCCGUUUUCUUUAUGAAAGCGGCCAAACAUCAACUUAUUUUUUAACUGUCUGUCUGAAAACUAUUAUGAAUAAACAAUUCAAAUACAACUUUCAACAACGGAUCUCUUGGCUCUCG